GUAAAUGGCAGGGCCCUGGGGAGUGUUGUAGAACAGGGAGACCUUGGGAUACAUCUCCAGUUGCCUGAAAGUGGGAACAGCAGAUGGAAGUGGGACUUCAAAAUCGGGUUAGCAAUUUGGCGAGCCAGCCAGGAGUCCAAGGCGAGGUUUUGGAAGUGGCGUGAGCGAUCGAUGGGAACGACGACUACCUGAGAUGGAAGGGCCCACAAGGUAAACUUCACCUUGAUCCUCUCGGGCAGCCGGACUCCUGACCGAUCCCUUUGCUUAUCGAAAACUCUCUGAUGGACUCCUCGCGAACCCAUCUGAGUGCCACAGGUGAAGAGCGCCUUUACACAGCAGGAGGGAAAGGAUGCAGAGUUGCCUAACCUGGAAUUUGCAGGGUCGGUGCUGAUACGGGACUGGGAACGACCUAAGCUGGGACCUCGGUGGAAAGGCCCCUCCAGAUACUACUGCAGAGGUGAAGGUACAGGGCCAGGAACGCUGGAUUCAUCUAAGUGUCUGUAAACGAUGGCCACCAGAGGGAAAAUGACGCUUCUUAAAUUUGGA